UGCCAGCCGCCGCGGUAAUACGAAGGGUGCUAGCGUUGUUCGGAAUUACUGGGCGUGAAGAGCAUGUAGGCGGAUGAAUUAGUCAGAGGUGAAAGCCCCGAGCUCAACUUGGGAACUGCCUUUGAUACUGUUUAUCUAGAGUCCGAGAGAGGUUAGUGGAAUUCCCAGUGUAGAGGUGAAAUUCGUAGAUAUCAGGAGGAACACCGGUGGCGAAGGCGGCCUUCUGGACGGAUACUGACGCUGAGGUGCGAAAGCUAGGGUAGCAAACGGGAUUAGAUA
rnacentral:rRNA from 1 species